AGCCGAUCCAAAACCGCAGCCUUUCUCUUCCUUUCUUUUGCGCCGGUCGAUCAGCCUUGCUGUCGUCGAACCAUGGGUCACGAAAAUAUCUGGUAUUCUCACCCCAGGAAGUAUGGUCCGGGCUCUCGCUACUGCCGGGUGUGCGCCAACCACCACGGCCUCAUCAGGAAGUACGGGCUGAACAUCUGCCGCCGAUGCUUCAGGCAGUACGCCGCCGACAUUGGAUUCAAGAAGUUGGACUGAGCAGCCACCCCAGAUUCGGACCAAAAAGACCAUGAUGCGAGCCCUGCGUGUGCUUUGCAAAUAAAAUUGUGCGAGAGCCACCAAAA